rnacentral:rRNA from 1 species
UAAGGGCACAUUUAACUAAGCGGAGAAAUUCUAUUGAAAGGUUCCAGAGUAGGCGCUACAACGCCGAAAUGACCUUCUCACCCUUGUGUACUCACUAUGUUGCUUUGGCGGGUCGACCUGGUUCCGACCCAGGCGGCCGGCGCGCCCAGCCUUAACUGGCCAGGACGCCCGGCUAAGUGCCCGCCAGUAUACAAAACUCAAGAAUUCAUUUUGUGAAGUCCUGAUAUAUCAUUUAAUUGAUUAAAACUUUCAACAACGGAUCUCUUGGUUCUGGCAUCGAUGAAGAACGCAGCGAAAUGCGAUAAGUAAUGUGAAUUGCAGAAUUCAGUGAAUCAUCGAAUCUUUGAACGCACAUUGCGCCCUCUGGUAUUCCGGAGGGCAUGCCUGUUCGAGCGUCAUUUCAACCCUCUAGCUCUGCUUGGUAUUGGGCAACGUCCGCUGCCGGACGUGCCUUGAAGACCUCGGCGACGGCGUCCUAGCCUCGAGCGUAGUANUAAAUAUCUCGCUUUGGAGUGCUGGGCGACGGCCGCCGAACAUCGACCUUCGGUCUAUUUUUCCAGGUUGACCUCGGAUCAGGUAGGGAUACCCGCUGAACUUAAGCAUAUCAAUAGCGGGGGGAAA